rnacentral:rRNA from 1 species
AGCGAACGCUGGCGGCAGGCUUAACACAUGCAAGUCGAACGGGCGUAGCAAUACGUCAGUGGCAGACGGGUGAGUAACGCGUGGGAACGUACCUUUUGGUUCGGAACAACCCAGGGAAACUUGGGCUAAUACCGGAUAAGCCCUUACGGGGAAAGAUUUAUCGCCGAAAGAUCGGCCCGCGUCUGAUUAGCUAGUUGGUGAGGUAACGGCUCACCAAGGCGACGAUCAGUAGCUGGUCUGAGAGGANGAUCAGCCACAUUGGGACUGAGACACGGCCCAAACUCCUACGGGAGGCAGCAGUAAGGAAUAUUGGUCAAUGGACGCAAGUCUGAACCAGCCAUGCCGCGUGAAGGAUGAAGGCCCUCUGGGUUGUAAACUUCUUUUAUCUGGGAAGAAAUGCCUGUUUUCUAACGGGGUUUNACGGUACCAGAGGAAUAAGCACCGGCUAACUCCGUGCCAGCAGCCGCCGUAAU